GUAAUCCUCCGGGUGUUUUUGCACAGCUGUUUUGUGGGCCUGGUUGCCGCGCGCAAUAUUGCUAAGUGACGGUUUUGACAAACAUGAAGUCUGCAAAUAUAAUGCCAAAAUGAGGGUGUCGUCGCACAGACGCAAUGGCUUGUAAUUAAGGUUAGCAUUGCAGGAUCCGCAGUCGCUGAGCCUGGGACGUUCCGUGAAAGCGGUGCUAGUCUCAGAUGUCUGUCGAGUUGGCAGUGACCGGCGUGCAGGCCUUCCGUGCCCCGUCCAGGGCAGGAGGGGGCUGCAGAGGGGGUGUUCUAGGAGGAGUGCUAAUCAGUGAUGCCAGGAGAGAUGGAGCGUCGAAGUCCCAGCUCUGGCAUCCCGCCAGGCCAGAGGUUCCCAGGACGCCUCUUUCAAAGAGCUCCCCGCUCAGCAGCGCUAACCUCAAAAAGAAGAACAAAUACAGGUUGAAGAGCCACACUCCUACCUAUUGCGAUGAGUCCCUAU